AUUAUUUCCAAAGUCAUCAUAAAUUUUAGUUAACAAGUUAUUACCGGUUCCACACUCCAAUUGGCAACAUUCCAGCAUCUCUCUCUCUCUCUCUCUCUGGACUCUGCGAAUCUGGUAUCUGUAUCUCCUUCCCCAUCAUCAGAUUUGUUUUUGCAUUAGUGAUUGGCAAUUGGGUAUGCUGAUAUAUUAUUCGUCGCUGCAACUGAGUAUUGGACUAGUGUGAUUGGAAGAUUUGAUGAAUUAAACAGAUGGCUACAUUACUGUCCUUGUAGAUAUCAUAAUUGGGUUGCUUGGACUUUGGGUGGUUUUGGAAUUAUAUUCAGUGAAAUUAGUGUAAGAUAAUUGGGAGGAAAAGUAUGGGCCGUGCUUCGCCACUACUUUUGGUUUUAUUGUCAUUAGGGUUUUUCUUUGCAACAUAUAAUAUGAUAACUAUAGUAAUGCAUCACAAAGACACCAUUUCGGGAAGAUGGGUAGGAAAUGGUUUAGACUGGUUUGAUCCUACUAUUAGAAUGCAUGAGCAGGUGAAGAGAAUGGAGAAUUCAAAUGUACCAUUCCAUGUUGCCCUUACAGCCACAGAUGCACCUUAUAGCAAAUGGCAGUGCCGGAUCAUGUAUUAUUGGUACAAGAAGGUUAAAGCCAUGCCCGGUUCUGCUUUGGGAGGAUUCACUAGGGUUUUGCAUUCAGGAAAUCCAGACAAUUUGAUGGAGGAGAUUCCAACUUUUGUGGUUGACCCUCUUCCAGACGGGCUGGAUCGGGGUUACAUUGUCUUAAAUAGACCAUGGGCUUUUGUGCAAUGGCUGGAAAAGGCAACAAUAGAGGAAGAAUACAUUCUGAUGGCAGAACCUGAUCACGUAUUUGUAAAUCCUUUACCAAACUUGGCAUAUGGAGACCAACCAGUUGCAUUCCCAUUUUUCUACAUAAAACCAGCUGAGAAUGAGAAAAUUGUAAGAAAAUAUUAUCCCAAAGAAAAGGGACUGGUUACUGAAAUUGAUCCAAUCGGUAAUUCUCCAGUAAUUAUCAAGAAGUCUAUUCUGGAAAAUAUUGCACCCACAUGGAUGAAUAUUUCAUUGAGGAUGAAAGAUGACCUAGAGACUGAUAAAGCUUUUGGAUGGGUACUCGAAAUGUAUGCAUAUGCUGUAGCAUCUGCAUUACAUGGUGUAAGGCAUACUCUUCGUAAAGACUUCAUGAUACAGCCACCGUGGGAUUUGGCAGUUGGAAAGAACUUCAUCAUCCAUUACACCUAUGGAUGUGAUUACAAUAUGAAGAGUGUUGUAGUUCCUGGUACUAUGUUGAUUAAGACAUCCUUGCUAAGUCAGUUAAUUCUAGUCGGCAAUAAUUCAGGGCCAACUGACAUAUGGAAAAAUUGGGGAAUGGCGUUUUGACAAGAGAUCAUACCUUCGUGGUCCUCCACCAAGGAACCUCCCAUUACCGCCUCCAGGAGUUCCUGAAAGUGUGGCAAGACUUGUAAAGAUGGUGAAUGAAGCCACUGCUAACAUUCCUGGAUGGGACAAAUUGUAACAAUCCCUUGGAGCAAUUUUUUUGGAAAAUUUUUGAUAUUCAUUGUACAAGACUGAGGACACUUGAAUAGAAAAUUCCCGACAUCAACAGCCUUUUUUGAUACAUAGAUACAAACAUAGGUAACGAAAGAGGAAGAAGAACAUCUUGAUGGAUCAAAUGAGAGAAUCUCUUCUUCAGCAGUUCUGAAAGUCAACCAAAAAAGAUGAUUAUUAUGUACAGAUCUUGAUUUAGUUUAUAGUUUAAUUUCAUUGCUUGUACAGAUGUUUUGCAUGACUAAUUAUGAUCAAAGCAAGAUCAAUGGGUGGUCAUUAUAAUGUAUUUGCUGGUGUUAGAGAAAUAAACUCGAGGAGUGUUACCCCUUGUGGCAACAAUGGCCCUUACUCUUAAGCUUAUCUUUCUGGCAAUGCCUACUUUCUCGAUGAAGUCCAGAGCUUCCAUUUGGUUACAAAAA